rnacentral:tRNA from 1 species
UCCUGUGUGGCUCAGUUGUUAAAGCAUGGCACUUGCAAUGCCAGGGUUGUUGGUUCAAUUCCCACAGGGG